CCCAAAGUGGCUCAGUUGGUAAGAGCACUUGUUUCAAGUGCAGGCUGCAGGCCCCUGCAGCCCGGGUUCAAUCCCAGCUGUGUCA